rnacentral:rRNA from 1 species
AUGCAGUCGAACGGUGAAGCAGAGCUUGCUCUGUGGAUCAGUGGCGAACGGGUGAGUAACACGUGAGCAAUCUGCCCCUGACUCUGGGAUAAGCGCUGGAAACGGCGUCUAAUACCGGAUACGAGCUGCGACCGCAUGGUCAGUAGCUGGAAAGAAUUUCGGUCAGGGAUGAGCUCGCGGCCUAUCAGCUUGUUGGUGAGGUAAUGGCUCACCAAGGCGUCGACGGGUAGCCGGCCUGAGAGGGUGACCGGCCACACUGGGACUGAGACACGGCCCAGACUCCUACGGGAGGCAGCAGUGGGGAAUAUUGCACAAUGGGCGCAAGCCUGAUGCAGCAACGCCGCGUGAGGGAUGACGGCCUUCGGGUUGUAAACCUCUUUUAGCAGGGAAGAAGCGAAAGUGACGGUACCUGCAGAAAAAGCGCCGGCUAACUACGUGCCAGCAGCCGCGGUAAUACGUAGGGCGCAAGCGUUAUCCGGAAUUAUUGGGCGUAAAGAGCUCGUAGGCGGUCUGUCGCGUCUGCUGUGAAAACCCGAGGCUCAACCUCGGGCCUGCAGUGGGUACGGGCAGACUAGAGUGCGGUAGGGGAGAUUGGAAUUCCUGGUGUAGCGGUGGAAUGCGCAAAUUUCAGGAGGAACACCGAUGGCGAAGGCAGAUCUCUGGGCCGUAACUGACGCUGAGGA